UCCCUCUCUUUUUCCCUCUAAACUUUGAACCUUUAAAAUGUUAGCAUUCUAGUUUAACACCAUUACUAUUACUCUAUGAUACUAUGACUCUUCAUUUUGCCCUGUCGUACCUGUGUCAACACGACACGACAAGACACGACAUAAGACACAACAUGGAAUAUGCAUCCGACACAUAUUUAUGCAGUCGAACACUCGAAGUGACAGAGAUCUCUCAAGAUG
rnacentral:misc_RNA from 1 species